rnacentral:rRNA from 1 species
UACGGGGGGAGCAAGCGUUGUUCGGAUUUACUGGGCGUAAAGGGCGCGUAGGCGGCCCCCGCAAGUCAAUUGUGAAAUCUCCGGGCUUAACUCGGAAAGGUCAACUGAUACUGCGGGGCUAGAGUGCGGAAGGGGCAACUGGAAUUCUCGGUGUAGCGGUGAAAUGCGUAGAUAUCGAGAGGAACACCUGCGGCGAAGGCGGGUUGCUGGGCCGACACUGACGCUGAUGCGCGAAAGCCAGGGGAGCGAACGGG